rnacentral:rRNA from 1 species
AUACGGAGGAUCCGAGCGUUAUCCGGAUUUAUUGGGUUUAAAGGGAGCGUAGGUGGGAUAUUAAGUCAGCUGUGAAAGUUUGGGGCUCAACCUUAAAAUUGCAGUUGAUACUGGUUUCCUUGAGUACGGUACAGGUGGGCGGAAUUCGUGGUGUAGCGGUGAAAUGCUUAGAUAUCACGAAGAACUCCGAUCGCGAAGGCAGCUCACCGGGCCGGAACUGACACUGAUGCUCGAAAGUGCGGGUAUCAAACAGGAUUAGAUACCCUGGUAGUCCGCACAGUAAACGAUGAAUACUCGCUGUUUGCGAUACACGGUAAGCGGCCAAGCGAAAGCGUUAAGUAUUCCACCUGGGGAGUACGCCGGCAACGGUGAAACUCAAAGGAAUUGACGGGG